AGUGAACGCUGGCGGUAGGCCUAACACAUGCAAGUCGAACGGCAGCACAGUAAGAGCUUGCUCUUACGGGUGGCGAGUGGCGGACGGGUGAGGAAUACAUCGGAAUCUACUUUUUCGUGGGGGAUAACGUAGGGAAACUUACGCUAAUACCGCAUACGACCUACGGGUGAAAGCAGUGGAUCUUCGGACCUUGCGCGAUUGAAUGAGCCGAUGUCGGAUUAGCUAGUUGGCGGGGUAAAGGCCCACCAAGGCGACGAUCCGUAGCUGGUCUGAGAGGAUGAUCAGCCACACUGGAACUGAGACACGGACCAGAGUCCUACGGGAGGCAGCAGUGGGGAAUAUUGGACAAUGGGCGCAAGCCUGAUCCAGCAAUACCGAGUGGGUGAAGAAGGCCUUCGGGUUGUAAAGCCCUUUUAUUGGGAAAGAAAAGCAGCAGGUUAAUACCCCGCUGUUCUGACGGUACCCAAAGAAUAAGCACCGGCUAACUUCGUG
rnacentral:rRNA from 1 species